rnacentral:piRNA from 1 species
UGGUCAUUCUUCAGACUUCGGGCUAUG